UACGGGGGGGGCAAGCGUUGUUCGGAAUUACUGGGCGUAAAGGGCUCGUAGGUGGCCAACUAAGUCAGACGUGAAAUCCCUCGGCUUAACCGGGGAACUGCGUCUGAUACUGGAUGGCUUGAGAUUGGGAGAGGGAUGCGGAAUUCCAGGUGUAGCGGUGAAAUGCGUAGAUAUCUGGAGGAACACCUGUGGUGUAGACAGCUUACUGGACCAUAACUGACGCUGAGGCACGAAAGCGUGGGUAGCAAACAGG
rnacentral:rRNA from 1 species